GAAUGGGGGCACCUGCCUAGGUCACAUACUGUCAAAACUACAAGCUACAGAAUGGGGGCACCUGCCUAGGUCACAUACUGUCAAAACUACAAGCUACAGAAUGGGGGCACCUGCCUAGGUCACAUACUGUCAAAACUACAAGCUACAGAAUGGGGGCACCUGCCUAGGUCACAUACUGUCAAAACUACAAGCUACAGAAUGGGGGCACCUGCCUAGGUCACAUACUGUCAAAACUACAAGCUACAGAAUGGGGGCACCUGCCUAGGUCACAUACUGUCAAAACUACAAGCUACAGAAUGGGGGCACCUGCCUAGGUCACAUACUGUCAAAACUACAAGCUACAGAAUGGGGGCACCUGCCUAGGUCACAUACUGUCAAAACUACAAGCUACAGAAUGGGGGCACCUGCCUAGGUCACAUACUGUCAAAACUACAAGCUACAGAAUGGGGGCACCUGCCUAGGUCACAUACUGUCAAAACUACAAGCUACAGAAUGGGGGCACCUGCCUAGGUCACAUACUGUCAAAACUACAAGCUACAGAAUGGGGGCACCUGCCUAGGUCACAUACUGUCAAAACUACAAGCUACAGAAUGGGGGCACCUGCCUAGGUCACAUACUGUCAAAACUACAAGCUACAGAAUGGGGGCACCUGCCUAGGUCACAUACUGUCAAAACUACAAGCUACAGAAUGGGGGCACCUGCCUAGGUCACAUACUGUCAAAACUACAAGCUACAGAAUGGGGGCACCUGCCUAGGUCACAUACUGUCAAAACUACAAGCUACAGAAUGGGGGCACCUGCCUAGGUCACAUACUGUCAAAACUACAAGCUACAGAAUGGGGGCACCUGCCUAGGUCACAUACUGUCAAAACUACAAGCUACAGAAUGGGGGCACCUGCCUAGGUCACAUACUGUCAAAACUACAAGCUACAGAAUGGGGGCACCUGCCUA